GUGCACCAGUCGAGAAACUUUACAAUGUGCGAAAGCACGAUAAGGGAACUCUGAGUGCCUCCUAAGGAGGCUGUUCAGGUGUCUAAAAGCACCUGAAGGAAGGGCUGGGUAAGACCGGUGCCAGCCGCCGCGGUAACACCGGCAGCCCAAGUGGUAGCCACGUUUAUUGGGUCUAAAGCGUCCGUAGCCGGCUGGGUAAGUUCCUUGGGAAAUUUGGCUGCUUAACAGUCAAGCUUUCAGGGAAUACUGCCCGGCUUGGGACCGGGAGAGGUCAGAGGUACUCCAGGGGUAGGGGUGAAAUCCAUUAAUCCUUGGGGGACCACCGGUAGCGAAGGCGUCUGACCAGACCGGGUCCGACGGUGAGGGACGAAGGCUAGGGGCGCGAACCGGAUUAGAUACCCGGGUAGU
rnacentral:rRNA from 1 species